rnacentral:rRNA from 1 species
GAUGAACGCUGACAGAAUGCUUAACACAUGCAAGUCAACUUGAACUUCGGUUUGGGUGGCGGACGGGGGAGUAACGCGUAAAGAACUUGCCUCACAGAUAGGGACAACAUUUGGAAACGAAUGCUAAUACCUGAUAUUAUGAUUAUAUGGCAUCGUAUAAUUAUGAAAGCUAUAUGCGCUGUGAGAGAGCUUUGCGUCCCAUUAGCUAGUUGGAGAGGUAACGGCUCACCAAGGCGAUGAUGGGUAGCCGGCCUGAGAGGGUGAUCGGCCACAAGGGGACUGAGACACGGCCCUUACUCCUACGGGAGGCAGCAGUGGAGAAUAUUGGACAAUGGACCAAGAGUCUGAUCCAGCAAUUCUGUGUGCACGAUGAAGUUUUUCGGAAUGUAAAGGGCUUUCAGUUGGGAAGAAAAAAAUGACGGUACCAACAGAAGAAGUGACGGCUAAAUACGUG